CAAAGUAGAAAAUUACAAAACCUAAUAAAUAUUUACAAGAAAAAAGAAUAUCCAAAUUCCCUACAAAGAUUGUUUAAUACUACGACCAACCCAAGCAGCCAACCACAAUGUCUAUCCUCACUAUGAACUAGUAACAAUGUGAAAGCACCACAAUCACCAAACUAGCCCCACCAUUCACAGCUCCAACACCACCAAACCAAACAAACAACACCAUCACCUCAAACCAAGACAAUAUCAUAUCAAACCAAACCAAACCACUACCAACACACCUCAAAAAUUAUGUAUACCAUUACAUGACACUUGCAUCACAACACAAAAAAAAAUAAAUAAAAAAAAUAAGACAUGAAAAACACACCUAGAACCGAUUCUCCACAAACAAAAAAUUGAUUCCAGCAUGCAUGAAUCGACUCAUCACUUGAGAAUCUAUUCUAACUUUCGGUUCCACAUGCACAAUAGGUUUCCU
rnacentral:lncRNA from 1 species